rnacentral:rRNA from 1 species
UACGGAGGGUGCAAGCGUUAUCCGGAUUCACUGGGUUUAAAGGGUGCGUAGGUGGGCAGUUAAGUCAGUGGUGAAAUCUCCGGGCUUAACCCGGAAACUGCCAUUGAUACUAUCUGUCUUGAAUAUCGUGGAGGUAAGCGGAAUAUGUCAUGUAGCGGUGAAGUGCUUAGAUAUGACAUAGAACACCAAUUGCGAAGGCAGCUUACUACCCGAAUAUUGACACUGAGGCACGAAAGCGUGGGGAUCAAACAGG